CGCGUCUUGAGCCCGUACUCCCGCCAAGGUCCCGGUAGCCGUGUGCUGAAGUGCUUGCAAUGAAGACAAGGCUGAGGGAGCUAUAGUUAUUUAGCUUGAAGAAGGGAAGGCUGUGGGGAGGCCUCGUUGUGGCCUUCGGGUGCCUAAAGGAAGCUACUAAGCUCGAGGAGAGUGACUUUUCACUCAGGUUGCUACUUUGAGAGCUGAGCUGCAAGCAGUAGCAUGAGAUAACUUUUCAGUGUGACUACAAAUAGCUGUUGUGAAGCCAGGCAUCCAGGAUGGAGG
rnacentral:lncRNA from 1 species